GGGGAUGUACUGGUUUUGACGUGGUGAUUGGUAGAUCCGGGUUGCGAGUUCGAGAGCUGUUCUCGGUUAUCAACGAGCAAAACAAAUUAAAUGCUAACGACAACGUUAUCGCAUUCCCUUCUAGAGCAGAAUAUGCUCUUGCUGCCUAAUUAGUGCAGUAGGGACCUCAUAGCCGACCAGCUUGCCGUUUGUUAUGAUGAAAUAUGCAAGACGCAGUACGCAGAUGAUGGUAUGCGUAUCAAGUUUUUCCAUUGGAGGUUAGGCUUCCGCAAAAAGUCUUUGGGUUUGCUUAGGUUUAGUAGCUUUCCUUGCAAAAUCCGAGAGAAUAAGUUACUACACUCGUAGAUAUCAGUUUUUAUCCGCUAUGGACGCGGGUUCGACUCCCGCCAUCUCCA
rnacentral:tmRNA from 1 species